GCCGACGUGGUGGAAUUGGUAGACACGCUAUCUUGAGGGGGUAGUAGCCCUAGGCUGUGCGAGUUCGAGUCUCGCCGUCGGCACCA
rnacentral:tRNA from 1 species